UACGUAGGGGGCAAGCGUUGUCCGGAAUCAUUGGGCGUAAAGCGCGUGUAGGCGGCCAGAAAAGUCCGCUGUGAAAACUCGAGGCUCAACUUCGAGCUGUCGGUGGAAACUUUCUGGCUAGAGUCCGGAAGAGGAGAAUGGAAUUCCUGGUGUAGCGGUGAAAUGCGCAGAUAUCGGGAGGAACACCAGCGGCGAAGGCGGCGCUCUGGGCCGGUACUGACGCUGAGGAGCGAAAGCGUGGGGAGCAAACAGG
rnacentral:rRNA from 1 species